rnacentral:lncRNA from 1 species
UCUGCGUCGCUCACACUGGGAGCUGUAGACUGGAGCUGUUCCUAUUCGGCCAUCUUGGCUCCUCCCGAGCACUUAUUUUCAAGGAGUCAUCAUUUAAAAUCUUAUUUUCUUAAUAAGAACACAUACUCCUUAAGAAGACAUACUUUUUUUGUACCCUUGUCUCUCUCAUUUAUUCCUUCUCCCUCUAUUCAUAAUUGACAUUAAUUGAACAUUCUUUGUUUUAUUAAUCUAUAUAAAAACAAUGUCACAUUUCAAGUGUUUAUCAUGUAAGCAAUGUUAUAUCGACUUAACGUGGUAGGCAGAAUAAUAGACCUUCAAUGAUGAUGGCCCUAUCCUAAUCUCUGGAACCUAUGAAAAUGCUAUCUUCGUGGCAAAGGGGACUUUGCAAGUGUGAUCAAGUUAAGGACUUUGAGGUAAAAGGUCAUUAAUUAGGAGAAGAUUUAUCUCAAGGAAACGUAUGAUCUGUGGGUAGUGUGGUCAAAGAUGACUUCUGCAGAUAAAAACAUCAUCUUGUAUGCAAGAGAUACGACCCUCUUUUAUAUAGUUGAACUGCAAAGACUACCUUACUGUUCACUCCCAGAAUGGCAAAAAGAUAGAUGAAGAUGGAGAAAUGUGCACCUAACACUGCAUCUUUAUGAGCAAAGGAUUUUCUUUGGAAAAACUGUGAUUAUAUGAAAAUCAUAGGACAUUUUAUUUGUGACUACAGGGCGUGGUGAAAACCUCUGCUACCAUACUGGAUACAAGGUCUUUAACUUCUCAGCACCAGUUUUAUGGAGCCCCCACCGCUAAGCAAGUAUGCAAAAUGCAGUGCUGCUUCGCAUUGGGAAAUCCCCAAUCUGGUGCCAAGAGGUUCAUAAAUACAGUAAUGGACCCUCUUAUGUCAAAAGUGAGUACUGUUUAACAGCGUAAGUUGGAACAGCCUUCAGGAUGCUUUGCAGCUGCAGUUGUUCCACUGCAAGACAUCACAAACUUCAUGAUGAUGGUUGUCACACCAGGUCCUGGAAAGGCAACCUACUUCAGUCUGCAAAGUGAACUAAAAGGGAAUGGUUGUUCAUACAUGGCCCUGAUGCCACUGACAUAAGAAACGCAAUGACAAGAGCGAUGAAGUAGGAAUUUGGUGGCAGAUGGUCAGGUCUGCAGGAAGUGUCCACCCAGCUUUGUUUGGCCCAUAUUCUGAAACAACUAGAAUAAACACUUAGUGUCAUAAUUUAUAAGCAUAUCAGUACCAAUAAAUCAGAAUCAUGCAAACAGU